UACGUAGGGUGCGAGCGUUAAUCGGAAUUACUGGGCGUAAAGCGUGCGUAGGUGGUUUCUUAAGUCUGCUGUGAAAGCCCUGGGCUCAACCUGGGAAUGGCGGUGGAUACUGAGGAGCUAGAGUGCGGUAGAGGAGGGUGGAAUUCCCGGUGUAGCGGUGAAAUGCGUAGAGAUCGGGAGGAACAUCAGUGGCGAAGGCGGCCCUCUGGACCAGCACUGACGUUGAGGUACGAAAGCGUGGGGAGCAAACAGG
rnacentral:rRNA from 1 species